GGGACAUUACUGCUGCCUUUUGGCUGCACAGAGGAGAAGCAGCAGAAGUAGCAGCAUCUUGGUGGGGCGGCUCUAUUAGGAGGAAUGCGGUAGUGAUGUAGAAGCAGUGAGAGAUGUGGCCUGCAGAGGAGCCGGUACAGCCUCUGAUGCUGAUGCUGAUGCUGUGAUUGAGGUGCUGCUGCUGCUGCUGCUCUCACUGGACCGAAACUGCUAAGGAUUUUCUACGUGGGGGGAUGCCCAGCUUCUCCUGCUCUUGGCUUUAGGGGACCUACUUCUGUCACCGGUGGACGCAGGCUUGGAUCCUUAAAAUCUUUAAUUAAAAAAAGGGGGAGGAAAAAAAAAAAAAAAGAUUCAACUGAUGCAACAAGAGGACUGGACCCUGAUCACAGCAUUGCAUCCUCUAUAAGGUGAUGUCCCUUUCCGAAUUCUCCCUACAGGCUGUUUUCUGCAAAGAAUAAGCGGUGGGAGAGUCAUGGUGUUACUGAAUUGGAUUUAAUCUUCUGCUGAGAAGACAUGUGUACCCUUCUCCAGGGUUUUCCCGGCGCUGCGUGAGAUCACCAUGAGCCAGAGGAGAAAGUAGAGCAGUACCGGAGCCCCCCUUCCCCCCCGUUCGCUGCCACACUCACCUCCCAGGAGAAAUGGUGCAUUAUGGGAAAUCUCUCGACAGACAUGAGUGAGCGAUGUGACUUGGGCAAUCUCAUCUGAAGGGCCGAGUUGUUCUUUUGGAGGAGACUUCUAGAUGAGACUCGCUGAGACACUGAAUCUGUGUGAAGAGGCCUAAGGAUUUAAUAGGAUGUCAACGGAGACAGAACUUCAAGUGGCUGUGAAAACCAGCGCAAAGAAAGAAUCCAAAAAGAA